rnacentral:lncRNA from 1 species
AAUCGGCUCACAGUCCCAUUCUACAGUUGGGGGCUCCGGAUACAGAGAGCAGAGCUAGGAAAAAAGGGGGUGGGGCUGAAGAAAUGGCUCAGUAGUUAAGCGUGCUAACAGACUGUCUUAGUGUUUUGCUGCUGUGAACAGACACCAUGACCAAGGCAACUCUUAUUACGGCAGCAUAAACUGGGGUUGGCUUUCAGGUUCAGAGAUUUAGUGCAGUAUCAUCAAGGUGGGAGCAUGGCAGCAUCCAGGCAGGCAUGGUGCAGGAGAAGCUGAGAGUUCAACAUCUUUAUCUGCAGGCCUCUAAGAGAAGACUAACUUCCAGGGAAUCGGGGAUUCAGUUCCUAGUUGCUGGAUAUGCCACAGGAUCCUACAAGCCAUUUUUAAAAUGGUGAUACAAAAGAAAUCCCUACUUUGGUAGGCGAAUGAGAUGGGUCUUGGUUUUCACGGGCUGGCGAUACUUUUCUGUAUUCAUUAUGCAUUUACAAAAGUGGCUGGGCAUGCGCAGGGGCAUUGCUUCUGAGGUGACUCUGAAUCUUGCCAAGUUGAUAAUCUUCAUGAUCAACGAGUAACCAUCGCUGGGGCCUGGAGCACUUUGAACUAACUUUUUCCUUUCGGAACGGCAUGCAUUAUGAAAGAGCAGAUUCCUGAUGCCAUCUCCAGAAAGCCAGCGGUGGGAUAAUGCAUUUUUAAUCCUGAACACCUGGCUUCCUUUUAUUUGUCUGCCAGGAGGAGGUUUCUUGAUUAUGUAAAAACAGUCUGUCUUACCAGUACUAAAAACCUGGACUAAAAAGGUCUGGGGAAGAGAUGUUCUGGUUGCUUUAGAACAGAGACCAGGACAUGCCUGUCCAGACCCGUGGCAGCAAUGUACUCUCCCUGGAGAAGACGAUGGUUUGAACGUAGCUUGAAGAAUUUAGUAACACUUAGUAGUGAAAGCCGUGGAUGAGGGACCUGGGACCUUGGUGAGCUGUGCAGCGUUUCCAGAGCCUUCUUUGGCUACGAAGACAGGGCACACCCUGACGAUGGUGGAGUGAAGUAGAAGGAGGUGGAGCGAAUCGAGGUCGUUAGACUUGGCAACAAGUGCCUUUAGCCACUGAGCCACCUUGAGGGCCCUUGGGAGGACUUUUAAAGAGAUAACACAUCCCAGGAAGAUGGAGCAGCCCCCAGGAGAAGAAAACUACCCAGAAGUCUCAUGGAUCCUGCCAGCAGCAUAUGGAACUGUGGGAAGGCAAGGUUGCUUCGGGAGCCCCCACUAUCCUCUUUUCCUUUGUCAUCUCUGUUCCCACCAGCAGUCCUCCCCACGACCGACACUAGUGUCUUAUCUGACAUUCGAAUUUUAUAAGCGCAUCCUGGCUUGAAGGCUUUUAAUGGCCUGUCAUUCUUGGAGAGCCAUCUUCUUCCUUUCAUGCCACCAUCUCCGACCCCCUCGUUUGUGAUCUGUGUCAGAAGACUCCUCGUGUCUGGAAUCUGUCAAGAUGUUUCAUAGCCUUACGCUCCCAGCACAGCGUUCCCUCUGCCGGGAACAGAUUAAAGACUCCCCACCCCCGACACAUACCCCAGCCCACAUUAUGAACCUUCCCCGUGCCAUAAAACGUGCCAGUAAUGUCAAAGAAAGGAACCGGAAGAGGAGAGGAGGCUGUAUUUAUGUGCCUCACCGAGUCUGCCUGCAACUAGAAAGAGAUUGGACAGGUUAGUAAUCAGGGCCAAGGUGCGGACAGAUCAACGGCUCUCCUAAUCACCCCCAGUGGCUGGUUAGAAAAUGGAGUGGGAGCCAGACUCUCAGUCAUAAGAGCCUCUGAAACGAUAAAACACCAGAAACAAGCUUUAAAACGUCUACGUCGCUAUUGUAAAACUUUCUGAAACAUGACUGAGAGGUGAGAACAAAGCCUCCCAAAUCCAUGAAGAUACACUCGACAUUUCUGCAUACAGAGCUCGAUUCAUGAGAUCGUGAGCCGGAGGCGCGCCUGCUUGAAGAUGUAUUAUGGUCUCAACCAUUUUCUCUGUGUCCUCUCGGGAAAAUUUUACCACGCUUCUAAGACUUAGCUUCCUUGUUUGCAGGCUGAGGGUAAAACUGUUAGGUAAGCUAGGUCUCAAAUGUGAGGAGAAGCCGCUGUGUUUAGCAUACGUACUCAGUCCGGGGUCAGACACAUAAUACCCAACAAGUUAUGUUUCUGUUCUUCAUUUCGGGUGUUGCCCAACAGAGGUGUUUUGGUUUUGGUUUUACCUGUGCUUUGAUGGUGCCGUCCCCUUUCAUGUGGUACCGUUUGGUUGUACACAGAUAACUGCAAUGACGUUACUUCUGUCCUAGUCACUGCCAAAGCUCUUAAAGCUCCCCUCCUCCACCCAGUGACCAACCUCUCCCAUUUUCUCAAAGGCAAUUGGAUUUUAACACUGUAGGUCACUUUUGUCAGGGUUUGGAUUUUUAUUGCUUGCUUCUGGCUUUACAUUAAAAAAAAGAAUCUUUCUUUGUGUUUGUGUGUAGAAUGGUGUGAAUUGUGUAUGUGUGAGUAUGUGUAUGAGUGUGUGUUGUAUUUGUGUAUGUCUGUGAUGUGUGUGUGUGAGUGUGGUAUGUGUACGUGUGUGAUGUGUGGGUGUAUGUGAUGUGUGUGUGUUUGUACAUGUGUGUUGUGUGAUGUGUGUGUGAGUGUGUGAUGUAUGUGUGAUGUGUGUGUGUUUGUGUAUAGAAUGAUAUGUGUAUUUGUGUAUGUGUGAUGUGAUGUGUGUGUAUGAGUGUGAUGUGUGUGUGUUUGUAUAUGUGUGAGUGUGUGAUAUGUGUAUGAGUGUGUUGUGUGUGUUUGUGUAUGCGUGUGUGAUGUGUGGGUGGAUGUGAUGUGUAUGUGUUUGUGCAUGUGUGUUGUGUGUGUGGUGUGAUGUGUGUGUGAGUGUAUGAUGUAUGUGUGAUGUAUGUGUGUUUGUGUAUAGAAUGAUGUUUGUGUUUUUGUAUGUAUGUGUGUAUGAGUGUGUGUUGUGUGUGUUUGUGUAUGUGAUGUGUGUGUGUGUGGUAUGCGUAUGUGAGUGAAUGAGUGUGUGAGUAUGUGUGUUUGUGUGUAGAAUGAUGUGUGUGUUUUUGUAUGUAUGUGUGAUGCGAUGUGUGUGUAUGAGUGUGAUGUGUAUGUGUUAGAGAAGGAAGCAGAGUUUGAAGAGAGAAU